rnacentral:rRNA from 1 species
GACGAACGCUGGCGGCGUGCUUAACACAUGCAAGUCGAGCGGUAAGGCCCUUUCGGGGGUACACGAGCGGCGAACGGGUGAGUAACACGUGGGUGACCUGCCCUCAGCUCUGGGAUAAGCCUGGGAAACCGGGUCUAAUACCGGAUAUGACUCCAUGACGCAUGUUGUGGGGUGGAAAGCCUUGUGCGGCUGAGGAUGGGCCCGCGGCCUAUCAGCUUGUUGGUGGGGUGAUGGCCUACCAAGGUGACGACGGGUAGCCGGCCUGAGAGGGCGACCGGCCACACUGGGACUGAGACACGGCCCAGACUCCUACGGGAGGCAGCAGUGGGGAAUCUUGCGCAAUGGGCGAAAGCCUGACGCAGCGACGCCGCGUGAGGGAUGACGGCCUGGUGUAAC